GGUGUGGGGGGGAUCUGAGCGGUGUCCCCAUGCUGGAAGUGAGCAGCCAUGUGGAACAAGGUCGCCUUGCGCUCCGUCUGCAAGCACUGCCCUCAGCCAGCGUCACUGCUGCCGCCGAGACUCCCACCCCUAAGCCGUGCCUUCAGGAGGACGUGUUUGGGCCCCAGCAGCGAUAGGCAGCGGGCACAGGCAGCACAGAACGGCGCAGGAGCGCUGCCCGGCUGCCUGCCCAGCAAAGCCAGACGCAGGCGCUGUGCUCAGAUGUACCCGGUGCUGGAUGGACGCGUCCCGCCUGCGUACCGACACGUGUUUGAGGAGAAUUUCAGGAACAGUGAGGCUGUUAUUAAAAGAUACUCAGAGUUGCUACAGGUGGUCAGUAAAGGAGGGGGAGACAACGCCGUCCUGCGUCACACUCAGAGAAACAAGAAGCUGUUUGUUCGGGAGCGCCUGAAGCUGCUUCUCGAUGAGGAGCCUUUCCUCGAGCUGUCUCCCCUUGCAGGCCUCAGUAUGCCAUAUGGUGACGUCCCUGCUGCUGGAUGCCUCACUGGAAUUGGAAAGAUCUGUGGGAUUUGGUGUGUCUUCGUAGCAAAUGAUGCAACUGUAAAAGGAGGAACUAUUUAUCCAAUAGGAGUGAAGAAACAGCUAAGAGCUCAGGAAAUAGCCAUGCAGAACAGGCUGGUGUCUGUGUACCUUGUUGACAGCGGGGGAGCAUUCCUACCACUACAGUCAGAGCUGUUCCCUGACAAGCUGCAUGGUGGAAGAAUUUUCUACAAUGAAGCAAUAAUAUCUGCUAUGAAAAUCCCUCAGGUGGCAGUGGUGUGUGGCUCCUGUGUAGCAGGAGGUGCCUAUGUCCCAACCAUGGCAGAAGAAACUGUGAUUGUAGAUAAAAUUGGAACACUGUUCCUUGCUGGCCCACCUCUGGUGAGAGCUGCUACUGGAGAAUAUGUGUCUCCAGAGGACCUAGGAGGAGCUACACUUCACUCUAGAGUCAGUGGCUGCAGUGACCAUUUUGCAUCUUCAGAAAAGGAAGCCUAUGAGUGUGUUCGAAAUAUUAUCUCAACGUUGAAUUAUGAGCCUGUGCCAGAAGAGCUCAUGGAGCAUGACCAUCCUCUCUAUAGCUCAGAUGAGCUUUUGGGGCUGGCACCACGAGAUUAUAGCUGUACUCUUCCUGUAAAAUUGGUUCUGAGCCGCCUGCUGGAUGGAAGCAGGUUCCAGGAGUUCAAGGCUGAGUAUGGAACAACAUUAGUAACAGGAUUUGGCCACGUGGAAGGGCACUUGGUGGGAGUAGUGGCUAACAAUGGGGAGCUUUCUCAUGAUGCUGCUCUCAAAGGCAGCCAUUUUGUACAGCUGUGCAGUCACCGGGGCAUUCCCAUCCUCUUUUUCCAAAAUACUGCUCCACAUGCAGCAGAGCCAACAAGCAUCUCUCAGGCAGAGGCUCAGGCCAACAGAUUGAAAGCCCAGGCCUCCAUGAUGGCUGCUGUCGCUUGUGCAGCUGUUCCCAAAAUAACCAUAGUGAUUGGUGGCUGUUUUGGGAGCGAAAGCUAUGCUAUGUGUGGGAGAUCGUUCAGUCCAAACUUUCUGUUCUUAUGGCCUAAUGCAAGAGUUGCUCUUGUGGAUUCAAGACAUUUGUCCAUGGUCCCACAAGCUGGAGACAGUGAUUGCACAGAUGAAUCCGAGCUAAAACAUUUGAAACAAAAGCUGGAGGAAGAGAGCAGCGCGUUUUACUCUUCUGCCAGACUCUGGGAUGAUGGUGUAAUUCUCCCCCAGAAUACCAGAAAGGUAAUUGCACAGUGCUUGCAGAUUAUAGAGCAGCAGAAGUACCAGGUGCUACCUCCUUACCAGUAUCCUGUGAUGAGAAUGUAACUGCAGCCCUUCUCAAGUAAUCACCCUUUGAAGAUAGCACCUUAUAUUGGAAAGCUUUAAUAAUAUGCAGAACUCAAACAGCACUUUGAGCAAAGAAAUGAAAAAGAGAAGACACACGACUGAAAACUAGACAAGUAAUGCGUGUAAGAUUUAGCAAAGCACAGAAUGCUGCCUGCAAAGUCAGAUUGCCAGAGCACCAUGGAAGGGCUCCCCUCAGCUUGCUCUGAGGAUACUGGUGCAAUGAGCAGGAGGCAGCACUCAUGCUCUUUUGAAGAGUCCAUGGAAAGUCACAGGGAUGUUCACCUCCACUUCAGCCCUGGCCACUUCGCUCAUGUCC